rnacentral:lncRNA from 1 species
AUGAGUGAAAUUGUGGUUGUAAUUUGUUUUGAUACCAUCUUAAUCUAUCAUACUCCGAGACUUUUUUUGUAAAGCUUUUUUUAGAAAAUGUAUAAGUUUGAAAAUAGAAUCAGCAGAAAAUGCCUUCUUUUUUUUUUUUGAAAUACAACUUUGCCCACAGAACGGACAAAUCUGCCAUGACUACAGGAAUUUCUCUGUACACACGGAUAGAGUCUUUUCUAUAUUUGUAUAGCAUACACACCUAUUACAUACCGCAACCCACAAUUUUCAUUCACACAACCAAAUAAUCAUAUCAUGCUGAAUGC